ensembl:snoRNA small nucleolar RNA, H/ACA box 29
UUUCCCAUUUGACUGCCACAUUUUCUUCUACUGAUAGAUUUUAGUGGCUAUGCUUGUGGGAUAGAGUGAAGCUGCCGAGAUCUGAAGGGGGAGGAUUUCUCCAUGUCCUCCUUCUAUAUGAAACGGCCGGACAGAAAACG